rnacentral:rRNA from 1 species
CCUACGGGCGACAGCAGUGAGGAAUAUUGGUCAAUGGGCGGGAGCCUGAACCAGCCAAGUCGCGUGAGGGACGACGGUCCUAUGGAUUGUAAACCUCUUUUGUCGGGGAACAAAGGCGUCCACGGGUGGGCGGAUGAGUGUACCCGAAGAAAAAGCAUCGGCUAACUCCGUGCCAGCAGCCGCGGUAAUACGGAGGAUGCGAGCGUUAUCCGGAUUUAUGGGGUUUAAAGGGUGCGUAGGCGGACAGUCAAGUCAGCGGUAAAAAUGCGGUGCUCAACGCCGUACAGCCGUUGAAACUGGCAGGCUUGAGUGGGCGAGAAGUAUGCGGAAUGCGUGGUGUAGCGGUGAAAGGCAUAGAUAUCACGCAGAACUCCGAUUGCGAAGGCAGCAUACCGGCGCCCUACUGACGCUGAGGCACGAAAGCGUGGGUAUCGAACAGGAUUAGAUACCCGGGUAGUC